CAUAUAGAAUAGGAGAUAUUGUUUACAUAUAUAUAUGUGUGUAUUAACACCUUUGAAUGUAUGAAAAAAACCUGAUUUACAACAUUGUUGCUGAACUGAUUGAAUUGGUGGUUUUUUGGAUCAUGAUAAUAUGUUGGUCCACCUGACCUUACACAUCAUGCUUAAUUUCGAUUGCAGGGUCAAUAUAAAUCAACAUUAGUCUGUCCUGCUUGCAAGAAGGUAUCUGUUACAUUUGAUCCAUUCAUGUACUUAUCACUCCCUCUACCUUCAACAAAUACAUGGACUAUGACUUUGAAAGUUGUGAGUUCUGAUAGAAGAAGUCAGGCAUCUCCCUACACAAUUUCUGUGCGGAAGUACGGAAAAUGCGAAGAUCUAAUUCAUGCUCUAGGCAUUGCCUCUUCUUUAGGGAUAGAUGAGACCCUAUUGGUGGCUGAGGCACUUUGCAGAAUUUAUAAUAUCCAAAUCUGGUUAAAGAAAGAGUUGGACAAUGUGCCUCUGGUUGUAUUUAUGAAUCAGCAUAUGGAGGAGCGGUACAUCCACGGGAAACUUACUUCAAGUUGGAAGGCAUUUGGAAUUCCUCUUGUAGGACCAGUCCAUAAUUUUGUCAAUGGAUCUGACAUCCAUAAUUUAUAUCUGCAAUUACUUACUCCAUUUCAAAUACCUGUUGAUAAUACCUUGGGCAGUUGUGAUAACUCUAAAAGCACAGCUGUUGAAGAAGCUACAGGAGCAGAGGAUAACAUUGGUUCUUCUUUAGGUGGAAAUGCAAAUCCUUCCAAUGUAGAAGGGGCCAACUCUCCCUCAGAUUCUGAACUAGAGUUUUAUUUAACAGAUGAGAAGGGAACGGUUAAGGUCUCCAAGAUCCUAAUAAAUGAGCCAGUACCAGUAACAGGAAUGCCCAAACGAUUUAAUGUUCUUGUAUGUUGACCAGGGAAAAAAAAUUAACAUGACUCUCGCCUCCUUAGCUCUUUACCUGAGAUUUUCAAGUCUGGCUUUCUUGCAAAGAGACCUCAGGAAUCUGUUUCUCUUUACAAGUGUCUUGAAGCAUUUUUGAAGGAGGAACCUCUUGGACCAGAUGACAUGUGGUUUUGUCCAAGUUGUAAGAAGCAUCAUCAAGCCAGUAAACAAUUAGAUCUUUGGAGACUGCCAGAGAUUCUGGUUGUUCAUCUAAAAAGGUUCUCAUAUACUCGAUUUAUGAAGAACAAGCUUGAGGCAUAUGUUGACUUCCCUGUGGAUGAUCUUGAUUUGUCGGCUUACUUUUCCUGCAAGAAUGGCCAAUUAUCUUAUUGUUACCUGCUUUAUGCUAUCAGUAAUCACUAUGGAAGCAUGGGAGGUGGUCAUUACACUGCAUUUGUCCAUGUCGACACUGGUCACCGGAAUAGUACAAUGAAUAGAACUAGUGAAUGUAGGGGUGUUACAGUGAUUGCUGGUAUGAGUUUGAUGAUAGCCAUGUUCAUCCGAUCAGCCAGGACAAGAUAAAGACUUCAGCUGCUUAUGUUCUUUUCUACAAAAGAGUUGUAGAAGUUUAACUUGUGAGUAGUAUUACUAAUUCCUGAGAAUCGUACAGAAGCUAGAUGGUUAGUGAUUUAUUAACAUUUUGCCGUCUUAGUCUAGAAGAUUGUCUGAGACGGUAGCCUUCUUUUAUUUUUAACAUAUUUUCAAAUUAAUUAGAGUUGCCGGAAUGGAUUGAAGGGAAAGUGGAAUUGAAGUAGGUGCAGGAGAUGAUUGUAUCAUGGAAACAAUUAAACAUACCGAAAGAGACCUUUCUUAUGCCUGUAACCAUCGGUGAGAGAGAUUUGUAAAGGGGUUGCUUUAAAUCCCCUAAGAAAACAGUAGUUCUUGCCUACUUGUGUAUAAUUCUUGUACAACUGAUGAUUAGAAAUAUUGGAAUUAUUUGAUAGGCAAUAUAUUGGUUAAUUAAUUACAGAUCGGUGACAUAAUAAGUAUGCUGUUGCUGAAACUUUU
rnacentral:misc_RNA from 1 species